rnacentral:lncRNA from 1 species
AAUGUACUAAAGCAGAUUAUUAAAGCAAUUUUUAUUUUGAGUUCUAGAUAUUAAUUUCCUAAGAAAAACCACAAAAGAAUUUUUUGAACAUCAUAGAGUUAGUAUUCUAAAGAAAACAUCUAACAGAAAUAUAAAACGCAAAUUUUUUUUUUUUUUAUGGAUUUUUGAGUUUUAAAACAUUUUUUCAAAUACAAAAUAGAAAGUACAAUAACAAAAGACUCGACAUUACUGUACAAAACUAGAAAAAAAAGAUGACAUAAAAUGAAAAACGGACUCAAAACAUAACAAAAUAAAAAAAAUAUCUUUAAGCUAUUCCUGAAUGAGCGAUCCUAACUAGAUGGUCCCGGGGUGUCUGUCGUGCUCAAACUCCGAUAAAUAGACCCACACCUGUAUUAGAAAAUUAAGAUCAAAUAAAGUUAAGGACCUAAACUCUUUUUGGAUUUUCUUUUACCUCUUUUUUUUCGAAAAAUGAUGAAAAAGUGCAAAAUCCUUUUUUUUAUUGAAUUUUUCAUGUUUUUUUUUUUGUCUUUUUCUUAACAAAACGUGACAGAAAAAAUAAUUGUGCCCUACUUGCUUUAUUUUCACAAUUCACCCUCUUUUCUUCCUCAUUUACCCUCAGUCAUCAUUGGUCCACCAAAUGACCCUUUUACCCUGGAAGAAAUGUAGUAUGUAGCACAUAGGAUGCAUCAGGAUGGUCUUUUAUUUUUGGGUACACCUGUCAUAGACGGACCAACCCUUGUAUUGAGUCCUCAAAGUCAAAUGCACGUGAUUCAAACAAAUGUUCCUACUAGGGAUCCGGCAUGAGGCUGUGUUUUUCUAGGUUUUAAAACCUGGAGUUGUGUUCUUGACCUGGCUUACCCGAGCGGACAACUCGAGCCAAAGAGGGGGCAACGUACCGGGAGCACUGAAGUUUAUCCAGCCUUGUUGCUGGCCUAGCCUUGUUCUAUUUGGUAUAACUCCUACAGAAAAAGCGGGUCGCCCGAACAUGUGCACCAUUUUUAGAAGACUUAGAGAGGUGGCAUAAGAAGACAGUUAUGUACAAUUCAAAUAAUAUCAAAGUGGUAAACAGACAACAGUUAGCACAAAACGUUCACAAAAUACAGUAAUAUCAACAAUAAAUAAAGCUAAGUAAAAAUAAUAUUAACAAGCUCGAAUUCUUGAACCUGAAUUAGAGAUUCUGGGUAGUUGUCUCCUACAGAGUCGCCAGAGUUGUCACACCUCCUCUUUAUCACCCCGAGAGGAGGUACUAGGGAGUUUUUUCCAAUUUAAGUGACAAUCGAAACGGGAUCAUUUAUAUUAAAUUCAGAGUCGCCACUUGGGAUAAUUUAUGGUAUCCCAAGUCACAGGUUUAAAAUUCCGAAUUAAGGAAGUUGACUCUAUUUACGGUCCACGAACACAGAAAUUCGGGUAAGGAAUUUUGUUAACCUAAGAGAAGGUGUUAGGCAUUCCCGAGUUCCGUGGUUCUAGCACGGUCGCUUUGAUCAUACUUGGCUUAUUAAAAUUGUUUAACUACUGAUUUUAGAACCUAUGUGCAUUUGCCUCUUUUAAUUAAGAAAUUAUCUUUAAACAAGUCACGCGUACGUUUACCCAUUUGUUUGGCGCGUCAAAAAUCAUGUCAUGUGAACGUGUCCACAAGUAAUAACGCUUUAUUAUUUUUAUGAAAGUUUGGCCAAAGUUGCGCGAACGCAUGCUCCGGUUUUGUUUUUAGAAUCAAAAUUACGUCACGCGAACGUGUACGCAACUACGAUGGUAUUUUAGAUGUGCCUAAAGCAAACUACGAACAUUUGUCAUUUUUAUAUCUAGGUUAUGAAAUUAAUACGAGGGUCAUGUAUGAUUAAAUCAUGGAUGGCAUACUUCGGACUAUAUAAACUAAAUUUAAAUUAGCGACCUAUUAAAACAAUUUUAUUAUUAAGAAAGUUUGAUCGAUGUUGCGCGAACGCAUACUCCGAAUUAGUUUGUAGAAUCUUAAUUAUGUCACGCGAACGUGUACACAAUCACAAAAGAACUUAUUAAUCAUUAUUAAGAUUGUUGCGCCUAAUUUAGUCAUUAGAAACAUUUCAAUUCAAUCAUCCACACAAACAUAUAAAAUAGAUAACCAAGCAAAGAAGAACAAAGAUAAUCCAAAGUAAGUGAAAUACGAAAGUUACGAACAAUAAAAUAAGAGAACAUAUGACCAGAACUAACAUGUAUUUUGAAGGAGAAGGAUAUUCUUCUUUUUUUUUUUUUUAAACUAAUCACUACGAAAGAACCUUUAAAAUACGAUUAAGGAAGAGCAAUGUAAUGCUGGGUAUUCCAUUUUGAGAGCUUUAAACUAUUUGAUAAGAGCAAAUUCACAAUUGAGAAAUAAAACCAAGUUUAACUCCAUGAACGAAACAGACUCCAUGGCACUUAAUUUGAACUCAAGAUUUCACUGAUUGUCCAUCAACUUUCAAGCAAAGCACAAUUUACUCAUCACUCUUAAUGAGGCCAAAUAAACUUUUUGAAUACAUUCUUCACAUGGAAUUAGACUAGACAAGUAUAGGAAGGAAUAAAAUCUUACCCAAACACAUGCUCCUAAAUAGUCGAGCAACUGGUUCUCAUCACAACAAUACUACGACAAGAAGGGAUCCAAACAAUUUGAACAGUAAUUCAUUCGGGAACGAACAAUCAGCAACGAAUUUUAGCACACCCCAACUACGAAUUUAAAAUUGAUUGAUUGAAUUUUAAGAAAAGACAGGAGUAAAAUCUGACCUCAGAUCUGAAAUCCAAUACGAAAAUUGAAACAAUUUCGAGCAAAGAAUCGCAACCAAGACUCAACGAAGGACCUCGACUCUCCAACGAUGACUGAAGUUGACAACUACUGCUGCUGGAAUCUCAUAUUAGAUCCCAAAAUCGGCACAAAUCGAAGAUGGCGCCAGCAACCUCGAUGAAUCUCGACCAACAAUUGAUGAGAUAUCACCGAAAAUAAAAUCCCACGAACAAAAGAUUGACUGAAGGGCUGAAAUUCGUGAAGCUGUUAUUUGGUGGUUAUUUCAGAUGCGUUCAUGGUGUUCAACAACAGCUGAUUGCUGGCUGGAAUUGGAGGAGGUCAUCACCGGCAAGAUGAAGAAGAAGAAAGUGGUCAGCGGCGGCGAUGGUUGGUGUCUGGUCGCUGCUGCCCUUCGUUGAAGAAGAUGGGUUUCCUUGGUUUAUUGUUGAGGAAGAAGCAUAACGGAUCCUUAAGGGUCUUAGGUUUAGGUUACUUUUUCCAUGAAGGAGAUGAAACCCAAGGUUUUUGGACUCUCAAGCAGAUGAACGAAAAUCUGAUGGGAUCGUCCUUUUUCUCAAAAAUGGCGGAUUGGAUUUUUAGGCAUCUAGGUCUUGUGCUAGCUCUAGGUUUUGGAUUUUAGGUAUUUUAGGCUCAUCUGCUGGUUAUAUAGAAAGAGUUUUUAGGUUAAGG